rnacentral:rRNA from 1 species
UACGUAGGGGGCAAGCGUUGUCCGGAUUUAUUGGGCGUAAAGAGCUCGUAGGUGGUUCGGUAAGUCGGAUGUGAAAUCUCCAGGCUCAACCUGGAGGGGUCAUUCGAUACUGCCGUGACUAGAGUUCGGUAGGGGAGUGUGGAAUUCCUGGUCGGAGCGGUGAAAUGCGUAGAGUAUCUGGAGGAACGACCGGUGGCAGCAAGGCCGGGCCGAA